CCUACGGGAGGCAGCAGUAGGGAAUCUUCGGCAAUGGACGAAAGUCUGACCGAGCAACGCCGCGUGAGUGAAGAAGGUUUUCGGAUCGUAAAACUCUGUUGGUAGAGAAGAACGUUGGUGAGAGUGGAAAGCUCAUCAAGUGACGGUAACUACCCAGAAAGGGACGGCUAACUACGUGCCAGCAGCCGCGGUAAUACGUAGGUCCCGAGCGUUGUCCGGAUUUAUUGGGCGUAAAGCGAGCGCAGGUGGUUUAUUAAGUCUGGUGUAAAAGGCAGUGGCUCAACCAUUGUAUGCAUUGGAAACUGGUAGACUUGAGUGCAGGAGAGGAGGGUGGAAUUCCAUGUGUAGCGGUGAAAUGCGUAGAUAUAUGGAGGAACACCGGUGGCGAAAGCGGCUCUCUGGCCUGUAACUGACACUGAGGCUCGAAAGCGUGGGGAGCAAACAGGAUUAGAUACCCUGGUAGUCCACGCCGUAAACGAUGAGUGCUAGAUGUAGGGAGCUAUAAGUUCUCUGUAUCGCAGCUAACGCAAUAAGCACUCCGCCUGGGGAGUACGACCGCAAGGUUGAAACUCAAAGGAAUUGACGGGGGCCCGCACAAG
rnacentral:rRNA from 1 species